CUGGCUAGGUCACCGAUCUAGCGCCAUCCAUCUCAUCUAGCUCGCCGAGCUCGCCAUCUCCCUCAUGGAUGAGAACCGUGAGAAGAUGCUUUAAAUCUUUUACGACUCUCAAUAUUUCUUCCUUGUGAGUAUUAUCACGCCCUGAUGCUAUAAUUUUAAUGAAUUCAUUCAAUUUUUUCUAAUUUUAUUUUGCGAACCCUAUUCUAAUUGAUUUCAAUUGAGUUCUGUAAUUUCAAAUGUGGUUAAUCUCUUUGUCAAAUGUGGUUUCAACUUAUAUUGUACUUCUACAGCUCUGUUCAUAGGUUUAUUGGAGAUUUCAGCUAAAGGAGCUUGAUAAGUCAGGCCCAAAGAAAUGUGUUAUUUCUCAGUCUGUGAAAUAUGUGAUCCAAAAUUUAGUGGAUGAUGACCUUGUUUUCAAAGACAAGAUAAGGAACCUCUGUAAGUGGAUGUUUCCACAUACAGCUUUGCAUCGUGGAUGAUGAUCAGUCUGUGAAAGAUGUGAUCCAAAAUGCUUGUUUAUAUUGGCAUUUUGUUGUAAUGCAUGUUAUUUUAAAAUUUCAGGUGUAUUUUUGGAGUCUUCCUAGCACUGCUGGAAACCAGCUUAGGAAUGUGUAUAGCAUACUUGAAUCUGAUCUCCAAAGCAGUAAGAAGCGUCAUGCAGAACUUGUUGAACAGUGUAAUGCCCUGAAGAAGGGAUAAACUGUUGAUUUUACGUUAGAGAUGCUUUAGAGCAGAAGCACUUAAUAAUCACUUGACUGCUGUCCAGCGAGACCAUGAAGUCAGAUCUCAAAUAGAAGAAAGAAAAAUAAGAAUUGAUGCAGCUUAUGAAGAUGCUAAAAGAAAGGAAAAAUCUCUGCAAGACAAGAACGAGCUAAAGCAGAAGCUGCGGUCUUUUUGUUUGGCCUUUUUAUAUCAUUACUGUUUUGUUGGUAAGUUUCUAGAUAUGGUGUGCAUGUAAUGGCCUCAUUAUGUUACUGCUUUCGAUAUUCUUUGUUGAUGUGUCGGAAAGGUUUUUUAGCAUUUCAAGUAAAAGCUAUUCCAGUGAACUUUGGGUAACUUGGUUAAUAACCAGGGUUCCACCCCAAUUAUGUAAGGAGAAUGUUUGUUAUGAAACGUUUGAGAUUAACAAGGACGUUCAAGAUUAA